rnacentral:tRNA from 1 species
GGAGAGGUGCCUGAGUGGCCGAAAGGAACGGUUUGCUAAAUCGUCGUACUUAGAAAUAGGUACCCAGGGUUCGAAUCCCUGUCUCUCCG